GUGCGGGCUUAGUUGAGCGGUUACUUCGUGAACUUGACUAGCGUCUUCUCAUACCAAAACAUGCCUAACCGUUGACGCCACCCCGUGCUUUU
rnacentral:vault_RNA from 1 species